rnacentral:rRNA from 1 species
CUACGGGAGGCUGCAGUGGGGAAUAUUGGACAAUGGGGGAAACCCUGAUCCAGCAAUGCCGCGUGUGUGAAGAAGGCCUGCGGGUUGUAAAGCACUUUCGGUUGGGAGGACUGCUUCUAGCACUAAUAUUGUUGGAAGUUGACGUUACCUUCAGAAGAAGCACCGGCCAACUCCGUGCCAGCAGCCGCGGUAAUACGGAGGGUGCAAUCGUUAAUCGGAAUUACUGGGCGUAAAGCGCGCGUAGGCGGCUAGAUCAGUCGGGUGUGAAAGCCCCGGGCUUAACCUGGGAACUGCAUCCGAUACUGUCUAGCUUGAGUACAGGAGAGGAGAGUGGAAUUCCACAUGUAGCGGUGAAAUGCGUAGAUAUGUGGAGGAACACCAAUGGCGAAGGCAGCUCUCUGGCCUGAUACUGACGCUGAGGUGCGAAAGCGUGGGGAGCAAACAGGAUUAGAUACCCUCGUAGUC